rnacentral:tRNA from 1 species
CAUUAAGUAGCUGAAACGUCAAAGCAUUGGUCUCUUAAACCAAAAUAUAGUAUGUAACAAAUACUCUUAAUGA